UCUCCGUUGGUGAACCAGCGGAGGGAUCAUUACAGGACUGGCAAGACUCCUACAACUCUGUUCACUCCACUUUAAGCACGUUGCUACCGCGGGUGUCGCGGAGGGGGUUGCCCCCCCCCGAGACGCUCACCCCGCCGGCAGUCUACUAUACUCUGUCUCCUUACGUCGGCAUCGCGAGAACAAUCAAACAAGUUAAAACUUUCAACAACGGAUCUCUUGGUUCUG
rnacentral:misc_RNA from 1 species